GUCAACGUGGUGUAGUGGUUAUCACGUCUGCUUUACACGCAGACGGCCCCCAGUUCGAUCCUGGGCGUUGACA